UGGCGGCGUGCCUAAUACAUGCAAGUCGAGCGAACAGAUAAGGAGCUUGCUCCUUUGACGUUAGCGGCGGACGGGUGAGUAACACGUGGAUAACCUACCUAUAAGACUGGGAUAACUUCGGGAAACCGGAGCUAAUACCGGAUAACAUAUUGAACCGCAUGGUUCAAUAGUGAAAGGCGGCUUUGCUGUCACUUAUAGAUGGAUCCGCGCCGUAUUAGCUAGUUGGUAAGGUAACGGCUUACCAAGGCAACGAUACGUAGCCGACCUGAGAGGGUGAUCGGCCACACUGGAACUGAGACACGGUCCAGACUCCUACGGGAGGCAGCAGUAGGGAAUCUUCCGCAAUGGGCGAAAGCCUGACGGAGCAACGCCGCGUGAGUGAUGAAGGUCUUCGGAUCGUAAAACUCUGUUAUCAGGGAAGAACAAAUGUGUAAGUAACUGUGCACAUCUUGACGGUACCUGAUCAGAAAGCCACGGCUAACUACGUGCCAGCAGCCGCGGUAAUACGUAGGUGGCAAGCGUUAUCCGGAAUUAUUGGGCGUAAAGCGCGCGUAGGCGGUUUUUUAAGUCUGAUGUGAAAGCCCACGGCUCAACCGUGGAGGGUCAUUGGAAACUGGAAAACUUGAGUGCAGAAGAGGAAAGUGGAAUUCCAUGUGUAGCGGUGAAAUGCGCAGAGA
rnacentral:rRNA from 1 species